GGUAGCUUGGUGCCGACAGCCGCGGUAAUACGAGGUUGGCAAGCGUUGUUCGGAAGUACGAGGCGUAAAGGGGGGGUAGGCGGCUCUUCAAGUCAGGCGUGAAAGCCCUGAGCUCAACUCAGGAACUGCGUUUGAUACUGUCGAGCUAGAGUGUGGAAGGGGCAAUCGGAAUUCCGUGUGUAGCGGUGAAAUGCGUAGAUAUACGGAGGAACACCAGAGGCGAAGGCGGAUUGCUGGGCCAACACUGACGCUGAGACGCGAAAGCCAGGGUAGCAAACGGGAUUAGAUACCCUAGUAGUC
rnacentral:rRNA from 1 species